rnacentral:rRNA from 1 species
GACGAACGCUGGCGGCGUGCUUAACACAUGCAAGUCGAACGGAAAGGCCCCUUUGGGGGUACUCGAGUGGCGAACGGGUGAGUAACACGUGAGUAACCUGCCCUUGACUUAGGGAUAACUUCAGGAAACUGGGGCUAAUACCGGAUAGGAAUCCUUGCUGCAUGGUGGGGGUUGGAAAGCUUCGGCGGUUUUGGAUGGACUCGCGGCUUAUCAGCUUGUUGGUGGGGUAGUGGCUUACCAAGGCUUUGACGGGUAGCCGGCCUGAGAGGGCGACCGGCCACAUUGGGACUGAGAUACGGCCCAGACUCCUACGGGAGGCAGCAGUGGGGAAUAUUGCACAAUGGGCGGAAGCCUGAUGCAGCAACGCCGCGGGCGGGAUGACGGCCUUCGGGUUGUAAACCGCUUUCAGCAGGGGCGAAGCUUGUGGUGACGGUACCUGCAGAAGAAGCACCGGCUAACUACGUG